GACGAACGCUGGCGGCGUGCCUAAUACAUGCAAGUUGAGCGCUGAAGGUUGGUACUUGUACCAACUGGAUGAGCAGCGAACGGGUGAGUAACGCGUGGGGAAUCUGCCUUUGAGCGGGGGACAACAUUUGGAAACGAAUGCUAGUACCGCAUAAAAACUUUAAACACAAGUUUUAAGUUUGAAAGAUGCAAUUGCAUCACUCAAAGAUGAUCCCGCGUUGUAUUAGCUAGUUGGUGAGGUAAAGGCUCACCAAGGCGAUGAUACAUAGCCGACCUGAGAGGGUGAUCGGCCACAUUGGGACUGAGACACGGCCCAAACUCCUACGGGAGGCAGCAGUAGGGAAUCUUCGGCAAUGGACGAAAGUCUGACCGAGCAACGCCGCGUGAGUGAAGAAGGUAUUCGGAUCGUAAAACUCUGUUGGUAGAGAAGAACGUUGGUGAGAGUGGAAAGCUCAUCAAGUGACGGUAACUACCCAGAAAGGGACGGCUAACUACGUG
rnacentral:rRNA from 1 species